UCACAUUUUUUCUGUAAGUACACUUACUCUUCCUGUGUAUACAGUGACAUUGAUUCUAUUUUAAACGGCAAGUUUGAAAUUCUGAGUCUCAUCGACACUGUGCACAAGAAGUUCAUCUGCCAAGCCCGAGUUUUCGCUUUCCUAGGGCUUGGGCUCAGAACCGUUUCCCUGCCACAUGCUGGCAGCUCUGGCAUGCCUGGGAGAGAAGCAGCAGACAAAAGCCUCUGAGCCUGGGACUAACUACGUCUUCUGUUCUCAGGGGGAGCCUCAGCACGGAGACCUGAAAAGAUGGUGUUAAAUCUUCUGGGACGCUUUCCUCUCCUACUAUUGCUGCUGGGACUAUGGGGGCUGGUGCAGCCACUUUGUGCUUGGCCUAAGUCUCUCACCCAUGCUCAAUGGUUUGAAAUUCAGCAUAUACAGCCAAGCCCUCUCCAAUGCAACAAGGCAAUGAAUGGUGUCAAUAAUUAUACCCAGCACUGUAAACCUGAAAACACCUUUCUGCAUGACUCCUUCCAGAACGUGGCUGCUGCCUGUGAUUUGCCCAACAUCGUCUGCAAGAAUGGCCAGAAAAAUUGUCACCAGAGUCUAAAACCUGUUAACAUGACUCAAUGCAGUCUCACUGCAGGGAGGUAUCCUAACUGCCGAUAUAAAGAUUCUGCCCCAUACAAGUUCUACAUUGUUGCCUGUGACCCCCCUCAGAAGGGCGACCCUCCCUAUCAGUUGGUUCCUGUACACUUAGAUAGUAUUGUAUAAAGUUUCUAUCAUUUUCCCUCUCACUUGUCACAGGUUCUCUUAUGAUCUCUUCUGUUUUUUCUUUUCUUUUAUUGAUUGUCCUGGUUCCUAUAGAAGAACCAUAGAAGAAAAAUUAGAGUGCCUAGGACACCAGACCAGAGUUGGAACAAAAAGAAAUAGGAUUCUUUUCUGCUUUGGAGCUUUGUGUGUUUUGAAGGAAGGCAACAGGGAAGAGGGGAAAGAAAGGUCCAUGUCUCCAUAUUUUUAACCAUGAAACUUCUGCCAAGCUUUGUUGCACUGUGUUCACAGCAAUAAAACCACUUUCUGCUGCAUUCUAAUGAGUGAAGAGAAGGAGAA